UCAAACUUCCGCUUCGCCGUUAAACUUCUGCCAGCGCGCGCUCGGCAGCUCUCUCUGCGCGUGGUUUUGGGGCGGGCUCGCUGGCUCGCACGCGCGCCUCUCGGCGGUUUCGCAGGGUGGAGGGUGCCGGUUGGUGCGUGGAGCGCGCUGCCGCCGCCGCGCCAGGAGAGGGAGAAGUGCUUUCAGUCCGUGGAUAGAUGAGGUGCUGAGGGCUGCUUCCCAUCAGAAACAUGCAGAAAAAGGGACAGAAUACAACUUUUAAGAGAUCCAUACCACAGGCAGAGAUAAUUACCCCUCUUCAACUGAAUCCAGAAUCCAGCACAAGAGCAGGAUACCCCAGCACAGAGCCUAGAGAAGCUGGCUAAUGUUGCAUAAAAUGUCAAUCACAGCGAUGCUUCAUUAGGUGUGUCUUUGCUGCAUUCUGGUACAGGCGCAUGUCUUUGAACUUCCUCUCAGCACAAAAGUGGAUCCCAAACUUAAGAGGGCAGCACCUGGGCUUGGCUAAAAUGUAUAUGUAUAUAUAUUCAUUUUACAGUAUCAGUUUGGAUGGAGAACAGAAAUAUAGAUUCUCAUAGUUUCACUGAAAUAGUAAAGUCAUGACCAACAUGAUAAAUCAUUUCUGUAUUUGCUGCUCAGCCGCUCACACAAAAACAAGCAAUACACCCUUUCUUCCACCUUG